rnacentral:misc_RNA from 1 species
GUGAAUCAUCAAAUUUUUGAACGCAAAUUGCACUCUCUCCGGAGAGUAUGCCUGUUUGAGGGUCAGCCUAAAAAAAAUCGACAUAGUCGCUGUUUCGCGGUGACAUUCGUCGGAAAUUGGGUCAUCUUAAACCUUUGGGUUUUAGGCGGUUAAAAUUUUUUUUAACGAUUCAAGAAAGGUUUCUAAGAUUUACUUUUUAAAGGUUUAAGUUA